rnacentral:rRNA from 1 species
GACGAACGCUGGCGGCGUGCUUAACACAUGCAAGUCGAACGGAAAGGCCCUGCUUUUGUGGGGUGCUCGAGUGGCGAACGGGUGAGUAACACGUGAGUAACCUGCCCUUGACUUUGGGAUAACGUCAGGAAACUGGGGCUAAUACCGGAUAGGAGCUCCUGCUGCAUGGUGGGGGUUGGAAAGUUUCGGCGGUUGGGGAUGGACUCGCGGCUUAUCAGCUUGUUGGUGGGGUAGUGGCUUACCAAGGCUUUGACGGGUAGCCGGCCUGAGAGGGUGACCGGCCACAUUGGGACUGAGAUACGGCCCAGACUCCUACGGGAGGCAGCAGUGGGGAAUAUUGCACAAUGGGCGGAAGCCUGAUGCAGCAACGCCGCGUGCGGGAUGACGGCCUUCGGGUUGUAAACCGCUUUCGCCUGUGACGAAGCGUGAGUGACGGUAAUGUGUAAAGAAGCACCGGCUAACUACGUG